UACGUAGGUGGCAAGCGUUGUCCGGAAUUACUGGGCGUAAAGCGCGCGUAGACGGCUAGAUAAGUCAGAUGUGAAAGACCCGGGCUCAACCUGGGGGCGGCAUCUGAGACUGUAUAGCUUGAGUGCAGGAGAGGCAAGUGGAAUUCCCAGUGUAGCAGUGAAAUGCGUAGAGAUUGGGAGGAACACCAGUGGCGAAGGCGACUUGCUGGACUGUAACUGACGUUGAGGUGCGAAAGCUAGGGGAGCAAACGGG
rnacentral:rRNA from 1 species